UCUCUCCCUCUCCUUCUCUCUCCCCCGCCUGCCCCUCUCUCUCUCCCUCCCAGGGGUGACAUGGGGCUGUUUGAACAGCUGUGCUACUGAAGCUGAUGUGAAGGGAGAGGGGCCUCACCAUGAACAAGCUGAGACAGAGCCUGCGGCGGAAGAAACAGCCGUAUGUUCCUGAGGCCAGUCGGCCCCACCAGUGGCAGGCAGAUGAGGAAGCCGUUCGAAAGGGCAAGUGCAGUUUCCCAGUCAGGUACCUGGGACAUGUAGAGGUGGAAGAAUCACGAGGAAUGCACGUGUGUGAAGAUGCAGUGCAGAAACUCAAAGCU